rnacentral:rRNA from 1 species
ACUCCUACGGGAGGCAGCAGUGGGGAAUAUUGCACAAUGGGCGCAAGCCUGAUGCAGCCAUGCCGCGUGUAUGAAGAAGGCCUUCGGGUUGUAAAGUAACUUUCAGCAGUGAGGAAGGUGGGUAUGUUAAUAGCAUAUUCAUUUGACGUUAGCUGCAAGAAGAAGCACCGGCUAACUCCGUGCCAGCAGCCGCGGUAAUACGGAGGGUGCGAGCGUUAAUCGGAAUUACUGGGCGUAAAGCGCAUGCAGGUGGUUUUGUUAAGUCAGAUGUGAAAGCCCGGGGCUCAACCUCGGAAUUGCAUUUGAAACUGGCAAACUAAGAGUACUGUAGAGGGGGGUAGAAUUUCAGGUGUAGCGGUGAAAUGCGUAGAGAUCUGAAGGAAUACCGGUGG